rnacentral:rRNA from 1 species
GACGAACGCUGGCGGCGUGCUUAACACAUGCAAGUCGAACGAAGUGGCGAACGGGUGAAUAACGCGUAAUCAACCUGCCCUUCAGAGGGGGACAACAGUUGGAAACGACUGCUAAUACAGCAUACUGAAGGAGGGGAUGGAGUUUGACUAGAACGUGGGAGGGGUAACGGCCCACCAAGGCGAUGAUCAGUAGCCGGUCUGAGAGGGUGAACGGCCACAUUGGGUCUGGGACACGUCCCAGGCUCCGACGGGAGGCAGCAGUGGGGAAUCGUCCGCAAUGGGCGAAAGUCUGACGGAGCAACGCCGCGUGAGUGAUGACGGCCUUCGGGUUGUAAAGCUCUGUUAAUCGGGACGCGGUACCGGAAUAGAAAGCCACGGCUAACUACGUGCCAGCAGCCGCGGUAAUAC